CUUUGUCUUCCUUACUAUUUGUGUAAUAUAUACAGUAUUGAUAUAAAUUUAUUAAACUAUAUACAGUAUAGCAUGCAAGUUGUAUGUUUUAUAAAACACAACCCACACGCAGAGAAAGUGAAUUUUGUCCAAUUUUGUGUCAAAUUGUCUCAUCCUUCACUCAUUUUAUUGAUGGUCAUUUAGUUAAUAAUUUUUUCUCUGUGCGGCUAGUAGGCAAAUUAAUCCUAUUGUUUAUAUUUUUAUACACUUGAUGGAUAAUCAUUAUUUACUCGAAGUAAAUAAUAAAGAAAUAGAAUAAACUUAUGACAAUUCUCUUGCAGCUUAAGAAAAGGUUGAUGUAUAAAAAAAGAGUUGACGAAUAAGACGUGAGGAAACUCUGGUCCCGUAACCGAGUAGAAAAUGUUUGUUUCAACCAUUUCCUUAAUUAAAUCCACCGCUUAAUUUGUCAAAUGUUCCAUUAGUCGCGGGAUAAGGAUUUACAUUAUUUUGUCGCAAAAUGGUUGCUUCUUUUAUAUUUUAUAGUUGAACUGAAUAUAAAUUAUAUAGUCCAGAAUAUAAUUACGAGUCAAACUUAAAGCCGGAGCUUGCAUUAUUAUCGACAAUUGUCUCUUUUUCUAUUACAAAGGUUUUUUCAUUAAUAUAUAUAUAUACAAAGAAUCUAUAUAUAAAAAAAGUUUACUUUCUCUUGGAUACGCCACGUCAGCAGCCACAUAGAAAAGUAAUGCAUGGAGGAGCUGACACAUAUCUCCUCCAUCAAAACACAUUGUUUCAAUUAAAUCAAUAUGCAAUUAAUGUGGGCUUUAUUAUGUUUUUGGGCUUAUGUUUGGAUGAAGAGACCCAGUUAACCCUAAUUUUAUUUUUUACGCAUAUUCUCCGUCGUUGGAGUGAUUGGGUUGCUGAAGUCGGUGAUGAAUCUGUUCGUGGGGUUUCGAUCGCGUCUUCUGAUCUUCUUUUUCAUCAACCAAAAUGCCCAGUUACAGAUUCGUCUCAUUAAACAUCUUCUUAACUCCAUCAACCAUGAUCUGUCCUUGAAUGUGAGAUUCUCUUUUGUGAGGCGGUGUCACUGCCAGUAUAAAAAGAUGAUGAUUUAAAAUCAAAGUCUUUAAAAGCUGAGUUUGCGUCUGUAAAUAGUGUUGGCAAUAAGCAGGAGGAGUUUGGUCGCAGUUUCUGUAUUGCAGUCAAGAGAUUGCAACACAUAAAAGGAUUACUAAAUGUUCUUCUUCAGAAAAGGUAUGAUGAAGCUACAUAUGGAGGAAAAUUCAUUGAUGGUACAAUAUUAAGAUAAAUGCUGCUUAGUAUAUUGAGAUGAGAGUCUAAAGUGGGGACAGGUAAAGCAUAUAUGUUAUACCAUUUGAGUCAAAUCUCAUAGGUAAGAUUUUUGCUUGAGUCGAUUUUAGUUUACAACAAUAUUUUUGUUUUAAAAGUAGAUUAUUGUAUGAUAAUUUUAAGCAAUCUGCAGGAUAUUACUGAAGAAAACAAAGGAACCAGAAGCUGAUGUCCACACCUUACCUUACACAGUCCUUUCUGAUACGGGCAGGAAGAAGAAAUUUUAACAAGGAACCAGGUCGAAAUUUUCAUGUGCUGGAGUCGGACCAAACAAAUUUUUAUUUGGCCUUAAAAGUCUUUAGGUUGAAUAAGAACACUGUUUGUUAUACUUUGCGGUUACUUUUUAAGAUUAGUAAUAUGCCCGAGCUCUCUUUCUUUGAAGAUGUGGUUACAUGUACACCAUCACAUUGAACAUAUCAUUUAAAGAUCAGGUGUUCUGAACACACUAACGCUUUGUUGUCCUCUACAUUUAAAGAGCAGUUAUAUCUUUUUAUCAGUUAUAU